GUGCCAGCCGCCGCGGUAAUACCGGCAGCCCGAGUGAUGGCCGAUCUUAUUGGGCCUAAAGCGUCCGUAGCUGGCUGCGCAAGUCCGUCGGGAAAUCCAGUGGCUCAACUACUGGGCGUCCGGCGGAAACUACAAGGCUUGGGACCGGAAGGCUCGAGGGGUACGUCCGGGGUAGGAGUGAAAUCCUGUAAUCCCGUCCGGACCACCGAUGGCGAAAGCACUUCGAGAAAACGGAUCCGACAGUGAGGGACGAAAGCUAAGAUCGCGAACCGGAUUAGAUACCCCUGUAGUCC
rnacentral:rRNA from 1 species